GAUCCUGGUGCCAUCUUCCAGAACUUUCUACAACAAGCAACAAGUAACCAGUUAGACACUUUAAUGGGCCUGAGCAGUUCAGCUGCUGUGGAAGACAGCAUUAUCAUCCCCUGUGAGUUCUGUGGGGUGCAGCUGGAAGAGGAGGUGCUGUUCCACCAUCAGGUGAGAGCCUGCUGAGCUCACGGUAUCGAGUAUGCUCGAGCAGGGGCUGAGGGAGCGUCUCCCCGAGUAUGGAGGCUUCCUGAUUUUGACUGGCAGGCUCUGCUGGGCUAUGUGAGUGCUGUGUUCCUUAACACGGGCUCCAGCUCUGGCUUUGCCAUGUGGUGAUGCCCUGAGGCUCCUGGAAGGAAGGGUGCUACACUGCACACUCUAAAGGCCUUUCCCAGUCUUCCCAGUCUGGACUCCUGUGUUGUUAGUGGGGAAAGUGCUCCCCACCCACAGUGGUCAGCUGUGUGAGGAGCCGGCAGGGCAGGCGCAGCCUUGCAUGGCUCUCGGUAGCUCCUCCCACCUCAAGGACAAACUGCUGCUUGUCACCUAAGCCACCACACAAACACUGCAGACAGAGCAUGCUCUUCUGACCACAGGAGAGUCUCAGGAGUCCAUGAUGGCUGUCCAUUCUAUUCCCAGAACUUGGCUUCCUCUGAUUUCCAGGAGUUGUAGUGGCUGUCAGUGUCUCCCAGCCUGCUGAUGCUCUUCCCUUCCCAGCAUCCAGAGUACUCAGUGUUUUCUUUUCUUUUUUAAAGGAUCAAUGUGACCAGCGCCCAGCCACAGCAAACCACCGAGCAAUGGAGGGCAUCCCUACACAGGAUUCUCAGCCUGAAGACCGUUCACCAGAGCUGUCCAGGAGGCGGGUCAAACACCAGGGUAUCAGCUGGGGCUGAGCGAAGCUGCAGCCACUGCUGGCUCAGGCCUGCUUCCCAUUCCUGCUCUCCCGGAGGCUUGCCUAGGCCUCUAGUUCCCAUGCAUGAGGGUCUCUUGGGAGCUCUGCUGAGGCUAAGUGGUCCCCACAUUACCCCAGGCUGACCCAAGUGCAGAUCUUAUAGGCUCAUGGCUUCCAAGACAGCUGUGAAUCACAGUGCUGUGGUAAGCUGUGGUUCCUGACUGCUUUAUUUAGUCAUCUAGCUGGGUGCGUGUUUCUGAAACUUCCCACCACAAAGUCAACUGCAAACAGCUUUUCAUAGUUGGCUGACAUCUGUUUGCUGAACAGUUAGGAACCUGUCCUUGAGGAUCAGGACAUCAGCAUGUGGAGUGGGCUCUCUGCCACAACAGUCUGCUAGUAACAGCUAGGGUAGCCUUCCCCCUAAAGCCAUUGCCGCCUUCUCUUCCCAGGA
rnacentral:lncRNA from 1 species